rnacentral:tRNA from 2 species
GCCGAGGUAGCUCAGUCGG